GCUUAGGUCUGAUGUGAAAGCCUUCGGCUUAACCGAAGAAGUGCAUCGGAAACCGGGCGACUUGAGUGCAGAAGAGGACAGUGGAACUCCAUGUGUAGCGGUGGAAUGCGUAGAUAUAUGGAAGAACACCAGUGGCGAAGGCGGCUGUCUGGUCUGCAACUGACGCUGAGGCUCGAAAGCAUGGGUAGCGAAUAGGAUUAGAUACCCUGGUAGUCCAUGCCGUAAACGAUGAGUGCUAGGUGUUGGAGGGUUUCCGCCCUUCAGUGCCGGAGCUAACGCAUUAAGCACUCCGCCUGGGGAGUACGACCGCAAGGUUGAAACUCAAAGGAAUUGACGGGGGCCCGCACAAGCGGUGGAGCAUGUGGUUUAAUUCGAAGCUACGCGAAGAACCUUACCAGGUCUUGACAUCUUGCGCUAACCUUAGAGAUAAGGCGUUCCCUUCGGGGACGCAAUGACAGGUGGUGCAUGGUCGUCGUCAGCUCGUGUCGUGAGAUGUUGGGUUAAGUCCCGCAACGAGCGCAACCCUUGUUACUAGUUGCCAGCAUUAAGUUGGGCACUCUAGUGAGACUGCCGGCGACAAACCGGAGGAAGGUGGGGACGACGUCAGAUCAUCAUGCCCCUUAUGACCUGGGCUACACACGUGCUACAAUGGACGGUACAACGAGUCGCAAGCUCGCGAGAGUAAGCUAAUCUCUUAAAGCCGUUCUCAGUUCGGACUGUAGGCUGCAACUCGCCUACACGAAGUCGGAAUCGCUAGUAA
rnacentral:rRNA from 1 species